rnacentral:lncRNA from 1 species
UGUAAGAGCUUUUAGGUGGGAUAAAGAAGUAACAGAAAUUCAGGAGAAGAUAAACCAGUUGGUGAUUUUAAAGUAUCGAAUAGAAUUGAAGGAAUUGAAAGCUAGAAGAGGAAGCAGCAAAUUUUGGAGCUCAAAACCUAGGGUUCUUGUCUGAUUGCUGAGUAGUGAGUUCUUCUCCUUCUUCUUGAUUGUUUAUUUCUGAUUUUGAUUCAUUAAAAUGAAUCCUUGAAUCGAGGUUUCUCAAAACCCUUUGUUUAAAUUCGAAAAUUUGGGAAUUUGGUUUCACUUAACUUUGUGGAAGUUCAAUACCUUUUUGAGAAAGGUUAACAUGCUAUUUUGUUAUGGAUUAUAAGUGAAUUAAUCUAGAAAAGUAUUUACUAAGUUGCAGGUCCAGAUUUGAUUGCUACUUAGAAUUUUUAGGCAUUUCUGGGUUUCUUUAAAAUUCUGGAAUAUUGGUGUGAAAAAGGGCAUAGAAAUUUCAUCUGAUAAUGUUUUGAGCCGAAAUUGGUCUCUUUGGAUUCUACUCUGUUUUGUCCAGAUAAACUGUGUUAGGAGGUAUAGCAGUUUCUGCCUUUUUCCAGACUCAAUUUGAGUCUUCGCGCUGAUCAGUAUUGUAGUGAUGUUUCUGCACAGUCCUUAGUAAAAUGAGCAUAGAAAAUUACUUACUGACCCUUUUUAGAUGAUUCCAAAUCCUGGAGAUAGUAGAUACAUGGAUGAUUAAUUAGUAUGUUUUGGGUUUUUCCUUAUUCUUACACUUGAUGGGGUGAAACAGCCUCGCAAGUCUGACAAUGCUUUGUGACUGUAUUUCUGAACGUAUAGUCGCAGUUUGUAGUGUUAUUUUCUGAAACUUAGGUAUUUUGUUUCAGCUUUAUGAUGUUGAUCUAUAAUACCUAUCAUCAUAGAUGUUUCAUAUUUUUAUUACUUGAUAGAUAUGAGAACACUUUUGUUAUGAAAAGCUAGUUUGCGACAGUUUUGUUACAUGUGGAUAGUGACUUCAUGUUGUUGAGUUAUGGGCGACAUGAUGUUUGAAAUAAAGGGCGGUUGAUGCCUAAUAGGAAUAUUGCUGAGAUGCAAAUGUUUUAGUGCAGGUUAUGAGUAAGGGACAGAGGUCCAUUUGUGGUAGAAACAAAGGAAGCUCUGUCCGAUUUUUGGUAGAAUAGAUUAUGUAUUAUAUAUGAAUAUGGAUUGAUUGUUUGUGUAUACUCCCUGGCACACCAUGACCUCUGAUCUUUAGGUAAAUUUUAUUGGGCUUUAGGUGUGGCUCGAGACACCUCAGUUAGUGAUAGGGAACUUUUGGCGAAUACCAAAGUAUCCCAACACACCUAUGGCGAAUACCUGGGUGUGGUAAUUACCCGUCUAUGGCGAAUACCAGGACGUGGUAAGCCCACUACUCGACCUCUGGCGUAGGCGAGUGACUUUAGCGCGCAAACGCAUAGCUUGAGCCUUACUUGCGUUGUGGGACCCUAGCUCACAUCCGGGUUAGGAUGGGGACCAGUUAACAGUAGUGUACUGUAGAGGCGAAGUGACUCGUGGUGGAGACUAUGGGAGAAUAUUAUUGAUAUACUUAUGGAUGAUGUACUGUAUGUAUUGUAAUAUUAUAUUUUGUUUGAACUCUUAACAGGAGGGUAGGCCAUACUAACUAUUCUUGCAGGGUGUUGGUUUACCCUAAUUAAGCGAGAACAGGUAAAUGGAUUGCGUUAUUAUUUUUCUUGGAGUAAGGAACUAAUAUGCCUCAUUUGGGGAACUACAUGCCUUAUUCUUGUGCAUUUAAAUUAAUGAGUUUUAGACUGAAUUAUAUGCAUGCUUUUGAUAUAUGGAUUUAUUUUUGGUUUGGGUCUUAAGAUGGACUCAUUCCAGUUCGUUGAAUAACGAGCUGACCCAAGUUUGUGUUUUGUUUGCACGCUUGGGUACACCCCGGUCCGGGUGUAGGCGGAAAGCGACAACCAGAUGUGUAGAGCGCAACUGCAUGGAGCAAUGUGGACUCUUUUGUUUUUGAUGUAUAUAUCUGUAUAUAGUUGGACAUGUAUAGCGAGUGUGGGAGAUGACUCUUUUGAUGUAUACAUAAAAUUUUGGAAUCAGUGAUACUGUUAUGAUGUGUAUCUUUG